CUACGUGCCAGCAGCCGCGGUAAUACGGAAGGUCCGGGCGUUAUCCGGAUUUAUUGGGUUUAAAGGGAGCGUAGGCCGGGGAUUAAGUGUGUUGUGAAAUGUAGACGCUCAACGUCUGACUUGCAGCGCAUACUGGUUUCCUUGAGUACGCACAACGUUGGCGGAAUUCGUCGUGUAGCGGUGAAAUGCUUAGAUAUGACGAAGAACUCCGAUUGCGAAGGCAGCUGACGGGAGCGCAUCUGACGCUUAAGCUCGAAGGUGCGGGUAUCGAACAGGAUUAGAUACCCUGGUAGUCCGCACAGUAAACGAUGGAUGCCCGCUGUUGGUACCUGGUAUCAGCGGCUAAGCGAAAGCAUUAAGCAUCCCACCUGGGGAGUACGCCGGCAACGGUGAAACUCAAAGGAAUUGACGGGGGCCCGCACAAGCGGAGGAACAUGUGGUUUAAUUCGAUGAUACGCGAGGAACCUUACCCGGGCUUGAA
rnacentral:rRNA from 1 species